GGGGUUGGGGUUGUCGGAUUUCUGGGCGUAAGGAUGCGUAGGCGGAUAUUUAAGUGAGAUGUGAAAUACCCGGGCUUAACUUGGGUGCUGCAUUUCAAACUGGAUAUCUAGAGUGCGGGAGAGGAGAAUGGAAUUCCUAGUGUAGCGGUGAAAUGCGUAGAGAUUAGGAAGAACACCAGUGGCGAAGGCGAUUCUCUGGACCGUAACUGACGCUGAGGCAUGAAAGCGUGGGUAGCAAACAGGAUUAGAUACCCUGGUAGUCCACGCCGUAAACGAUGAGUACUAGGUGUAGGAGGGUCCAACCUUCUGUGCCGCAGUUAACACAAUAAGUACUCCGCCUGGGAAGUACGAUCGCAAGAUUAAAACUCAAAGGAAUUGACGGGGGCCCGCACAAGCAGCGGAGCAUGUGGUUUAAUUCGAAGCAACGCGAAGAACCUUACCUGGACUUGACAUCCCCUGAAUAGUGUAGAGAUGCAUGAAGCCCUUCGGGGCAGGGAGACAGGUGGUGCAUGGUUGUCGUCAGCUCGUGUCGUGAGAUGUUAGGUUAAGUCCUGCAACGAGCGCAACCCCUAUCAUUAGUUGCUACCAUUAAGUUGAGCACUCUAGUGAGACUGCCCGGGUUAACCGGGAGGAAGGUGGGGAUGACGUCAAAUCAUCAUGCCCCUUAUGUCCAGGGCUACACACGUGCUACAAUGGUGGGUACAAAGAGAUGCAAGACCGCGAGGUGGAGCAAAACUCAAAAACCCAUCCCAGUUCGGAUUGUAGGCUGCAACUCGCCUACAUGAAGCCGGAGUUGCUAGUAAUCGCGAAUCAGAAUGUCGCGGUGAAUACGUUCCCGGGCCUUGUACACACCGCCCGUCACACCAUGAGAGCUGGCAACACCCGAAGUCCGUGAGGUAACCUGCAAAGGAGCCAGCGGCCGAAGGUGGGGUUAGUGAUUGGGGUGAAGUCGUAACAAGGUAACC
rnacentral:rRNA from 1 species